rnacentral:rRNA from 1 species
CAGCAGCCGCGGGAAUACGGAGGGGGCUAGCGUUGUUCGGAAUUACUGGGCGUAAAGCGCACGUAGGCGGCUUUGUAAGUUAGAGGUGAAAGCCCGGGGCUCAACCCCGGAAUUGCCUUUAAGACUGCAGAGCUAGCAGGUGAGAGAGGUGAGUGGAAUUCCGAGUGUAGAGGUGAAAUUCGUAGACAUUCGGAAGAACACCAGUGGCGAAGGCGGCUCACUGGCUCAUACUGGACGCUGAGGUGCGAAAGCGUGGGGAGCAAACAGGAUUAGAUACCCGCGUAGUCCCUGUCUCUUAUAC